UACGAAGGGUGCAAGCGUUAAUCGGAAUUACUGGGCGUAAAGGGUGCGUAGGCGGUUCGUUAAGUCUGUCGUGAAAUCCCCGGGCUCAACCUGGGAAUGGCGAUGGAUACUGGCGAGCUAGAGUGUGUCAGAGGAUGGUGGAAUUCCCGGUGUAGUGGUGAAAUGCGUAGAGAUCGGGAGGAACACCCGUGGCGAAGGCGGCCAGCUGGGAUACACCUGACGCUGAGGCACGAAGGCGUGGGGAGCGAACGGG
rnacentral:rRNA from 1 species